AACGAACGCUGGCGGCAUGCCUAACACAUGCAAGUCGAACGGGAUCCUAGCUUGCUAGGUGAGAGUGGCGGACGGGUGAGUAACACGUGGGAAUCUGCCUUUUGGUUCGGGAUAACCGCGGGAAACUGCGGCUAAUACCGAAUGCCCUCGAGAGAGGAAAGAUUUAUCGCCAGAAGAGGAGCCCGCGUCCGAUUAGGUAGUUGGUGGGGUAAAGGCCUACCAAGCCGACGAUCGGUAGCUGGUCUGAGAGGAUGAUCAGCCACACUGGGACUGAGAUACGGCCCAGACUCCUACGGGAGGCAGCAGUGGGAAUAUUGGACAAUGGGGGAAACCCUGAUGCAGCAACGCCGCGUGAGUGAAGAAGGCCCUUGGGUUGUAAAGCUCUUUAGCGAGGGAAGAAGGUAGAUACGGUGAAUAAUACGUGUUUGCUGACGGUACCUCGAGAAUAAGCACCGGCUAAUUUCGUGCCAGCAGCCGCGGUAAU
rnacentral:rRNA from 1 species